GUGCCAGCCGCCGCGGUAAGACGAACCGUCCAAACGUUAUUCGGAAUCACUGGGCUUAAAGGGCGCGUAGGCGGCCGAGCGGGUCGCGGGUGAAAUCCCCCAGCUUAACUGGGGAACUGCCCUCGAUACCACUGCGGCUCGAGGAAGGAAGGGGUCAUGGGAACUGUCGGUGGAGCGGUGAAAUGCGUUGAUAUCGACAGGAACGCCUGUGGCGAAAGCGCAUGACUGGUCCUUUUCUGACGCUGAGGCGCGAAAGCCAGGGGAGCAAACGGGAUUAGAUACCCCCGUAGUCC
rnacentral:rRNA from 1 species